UCAUCAUCCUGACUGGCAUCGCUCUGACAACAUGUUGCAGCCUGUCUAAAAGGGACACACAAGCAUUUCACCCAAAAUGCAUGAGGAGAGUUUGUUUGGACAAAACCCUCCUGAGAGAUGGAAUAAAAAGACAAGAUCUCAGCUGCAGGGGUCUGUGGCGUCAUCGGGCAGAUGGUAGAGAGUUUGGGCAAUGAUACUGCAGAAUCCAGUGUAUAAACACACCCAACAGAGCUGCAGCCACACACUCUCUUUCAAGAGGCUUUGCAGAGUUUAGUUGUGAGAAACCUCUGAGGCCAGUGGGAACAGACCACCUGGUUUUGAUAAUCUUUGAAAAACACGAGAUGGUUUGCUUAGACUGAACUUUGGGACAGAAAAACUCCCUGUGCACAGUUUCCCAAACAGCUGUGAGAAAGAAAAGGAACCGUUAAGAUGUUUUCAAAUGUCUCUCGACGAGGAAGCCGAACACUUGUCAGAGCUGCUGGUGGGACAUAAAAGGACGACAGUAAAUCUUUCGCUGACGCCCGAAGCAAGUGGUUCGUUCUCAUGCACCGACCUCGCUGCUGUCUCGUGAGCAGACAGGCCUCACGCAGCAGCUGGUCCCUGAACACCCGGAGGUCACGACCCCCGGGGCCCUGAGGUGUGUAUUUAGAGGAUAGGCUGCUACACUGAGGGCCUCAUGUCCCUCCUGCACAGGCCCCUUCAUGAUCCAUCAACACUCGUCUGACAGGGAGACACACAUGCUCACUUGUGCAUGUAGGGAUUUUAUUUUUUGGCGUCUUACUGAAACCUGAUUGUGAAUUAUUUUCCUAUUUUUUGAAACUCAAAUUUGGUGACCUAAAAUACUUGAAAAUGUAUGAAACUUUGCACAUGCACCAGGACCCAGUAGGCAUCACCUACAGUUAUGAAAUUUGGUAGGCAUAUGUAACUCAUUAAGCUGCACAAACAUGUAAUUGACAACCAUACCCAAUACCCAACAGGAAGUUGGGCCAUUGUUGAGCUGAAUCUCAGGACAUGGGACCUAAAUACUACACUUCCCAGAAUGCACUGGUAGCAGCAAGGUGGUACCCGACACCUGGUGCUUGACACCUGAUCAGUGAUCACUGAUUCAGAGCACCUGGGAAGGACUGGGGGAAGCUCAGUCAGUCAGGCAAACAAUCUUCAGAAGAGAGACACAAAGAAAGAACAAAGAAGAUCCAGGUCCACUCAUGGAUUCAGUCCAAAGAUUUGUACUGCAGGAUACAUGACACCAGCAUUCUUUCAGACAUGGCCCACAACGGCCAACUGAUCCCAACACCUUCAGCUGUGAACGCCAACACAUUCCAGGGGUGAUUCCCAGCAGACAAGUUCAACGCUGACAAAUACAUUCCUCCACUGGCAUCCCAUCAGCAAACCCACCUGGCCUCUCUGAGCUUCCACAUGUUUUGCAGGCCCGUGACCUUCCUGACAUCCUUGUGUAGUAGCAGAACAGCCGCUAAAACACAGCAUCUUCCGAGUGGCAGCGUCCCACGUCCUCCAUCUUCAUCCAUCAGCAGACCUCAGAUCAAGUCCUCCAACGAUGUCGUCUGUCCUACAGCUCUUCAACCAGGCCCGGUUCCUCUCCUCAUCCAGCCUCUGAAGUGAGUCCAUCCCACUUUUAGGACACUAAACCUAGGGUCAUCUCAGCUAAAGCAAAAUUCCAGGUCAUUAACAUGCAAUAAGUUCACACAAGAUUCAAACAUUGGCCAGAACGUCCAUCACUUGCCAGAGAUGAUGCAACAAUCGGGAAGAGUCCAGUGGACACGUCCUGCAAGUUGUAGCGCUUGUUAAUUGUCCCAUCGUCAGUUCAAGUUUCAUGUGAUUUUCAUUCAAACACUACAGUCCAAAAGCCUGAUGACCUGCAGCAGGCCAACAUGAGAAAAACAAAAAAAUACUAGAACACAAUUUGCUUCAUGAUUUACAUAAACAUAGCCAGCACCUCAAUUAUCAGAAGUGCAGAGAACUUGGAGAUUUCUUUUGUGCAAUAAGAAAAAAAAACACUGGUAUAACCAACAUUUUCAAAGUUUCCACGUUAUCAAAAACAAGAACAUGGUGGCUCUACAUACCAAGUUAUCUAACCAAUUACCGUUUGUAUUGCAUUGCUUUCAUUUGUCACUUCUAUCUUGUUUUAGGUCUUUGAGAAAGUUCUCUCGUAAUUUUGAAUCUCCACGUUUUAGUCAUUACAUGCCUUGUUUAUCUUAGUCUCUUUGGGGGUUGUUGUGCCAAAUUAUACUACAGAUAUUAAACUACAUUUUUGCAAUCCCUAAAAGUCUGCUGUUUAGCUCUACUCUGCACAUCACUUUAUAGAUAUAUUAUACAAUCUGAGCCCUGCUGCAUUAUUUUAUUGAUCCUGUUGGUUUUAUUUUCCCGUCUCUUAUCUGCCAUGUAAACAAAGCCUGCAGUUCAACUAAACACUCAGGAUUUUUAGAUUAAAUGGCUUUUAUAUUGCUCUUCCUCAGCAAAGUCUGUCCUUAAAAUUAUCCCCAACACAUGUCAGAAUCGGCUGUUUGACAUUCCAAUCACACAAUCAGCUGAUUCACAAAACCAGAUGGAUCCUUGUCUGGUUUUGAAAACCGCACAACUGUGGCAUGAUCAUUGUGUUUUGAUUUUUUUUCUUUGAGUUUCUUAGAGCUCGGCCAUCAUUGAAGACAGAGAAGGGGGAAGGAGAAAAGCCUUGCCAUCUUAUGAUACGAGUCGACUCUGUUGACCUCAUUCUCUGCAGCUCAGAGAUGACCUCGCCCAACGAAACCAGUUUGUGAAGCACCAUUUAUUUAGAAAGGAAAAUGCUCUAGGAUGAAAUUUAUUUUUACAACUGAUUCUGACAUGCUUGGUCUUUCUUUUUGACUAGAAGUUCAUGUGAGGUCUUAAAAAGCUCUGAAGAUGGAAUUAAAACUGCUUUACAAUGCAAUGAUCUGUCUUUUUGAAAGCAUUUCCUGACAUUUUAGAGCCUAAAUAGCUAAUUGAUUAUUUUAAAAAAAAAUAAAAAUUUAAUCACUGAAAGUAGUAAGCUGCAGGUCUAGAAUGAACUUUUUUUUGUCUGCAUUUGUUCUCAUUGUUUAACUCCACAAAAGAGGUGUCAACAUUGUAUGAGAUUGAUGCAUAUUUUAGUCUUGCAGCCAAAUAUUUUAAUAUUUAGUGCGUGUGUGUGACCAUCACCAGCCCUUCCUGAAAGCUAAGCAGAUAUUCUUUAUUAGAAUUCCCUAUUAUAAGCCAGGGGGGGCAGUGCUAGAAUAAACUUUCAAACCAAACGUCAUUCAAAAAAGUUCCUAUUUAAAGGCCAGAUAGAGGACAUUUAUGAACUAAUCCUAAUUUUAGCUCAAAUUUGGUCACUGCUAACUUUGAGAAUCAAGACGAAUUUUUCAAAUCGGACUCGUUUAGCACAACUAAUUAGCAACUGAAGUUAGAAAUUACUGUGUAAAUAGUUAAUAAAUGAAUACCUAAUUAAUGUUGACAGUAGUGCUACAAUAAUUAGCUGUUGACUACUUUAAUAUUAAUUUUUGAAAAGAUAAGUUCUGUGACUGCAGCUUCUUAUAUUCGUAUAUUCUGUUUUGUUUCCACAUUUUUUACAGUAAACUGAACAUCUUUGGGUUGUAUCCUAAAGAUGACACUGAGAAACACUGAGUGACAUUUAAAAUUAUCAGUUAAUGCAGAAACUAGUAGAACUAAUUGCAGCCACCUCUAUUAUACAGGAUAUUAAAAUACAGACAUGAAACUGGAAAAAAGGGACAGAAUAAAAACAC